AGCUUCCAUGGCACACUGGCAUGUUUUCCCGGAAAAUUUUACUUCAUAAAAGGCAGAAUAGAAGAGCCAGAUGUUUUGGGUACAAAAGAUGGAGAGGGCAGUGGAUAUUGCAGGCAGAUAUAAGGCAAUUCUAAAAGAAAGCAUGUUUCCAUCUGCAAGAAACCUGAGACUGGGAUGAAGAGUCACCUUCCAGCAGAAUAAUAACUCUAAACCACAGGCAAGAACCUAUUUCUUAAUGGCUAAGACAAAGCACAGACCUUAAUCCAACUGGGAAUCUGUGGCAUGACAUGACAAUUGCUGUUUACUAAAAGCCCACAUGCAGCCUUUCAUGGCUUAAGCAAUGUUGUCAAGAAGAAGGGAACAAAUAACAGACUCACAACUGAUUUGACCACAUAUUGACCUCAUGGAGGGUAAAUGAUUACAAAAACAGAUGUCUGUGGGGAGGGGUGUUUACUUAAAAUCAAAUUUGUGUCACAGUAAAAAAAUAUUUUAAUUUUUUUUUAAUUUCAACUAAUAAGUGGUAUGUACUGUAUGUUGUAUAAAUCAAAUUAAAUGCUUCACAAUUAAA